rnacentral:ribozyme from 1 species
CUAUGGACUUAAUUGGAUUGAACCUUGGUAUGGAAACUUACUAAGUGAUCACUUUCAAAUUCAGAGAAACCUUGGAAUUAACAAAAACGGGCAAUCCUGAGCCAAAUCCUGUUUUCCGAAAACAAAGUAUUUUGUUUUCAUGAUGUAGAAAAAGUAUUUUCUUUUAUUUCACCAAAAUGAUUACU